rnacentral:lncRNA from 13 species
CAUGCUUCAAAAAAAUCCCACGGAAAAAUAUUGUGGGCCUGUGGGAGAAAUUUGAGCCUUGGCCAGCUGCGAAGCUGUGUAAACAGUGGUGAUGACUGUGAUUAAUCCAAACCCCACUCCGGGAUCUGUAAAGUGUGUCAGUUCUGCCUGUGGCUCGUGAAAUCCCCACUCAUUACUGAAUUCUUUUAGGAAGGAAGAAACAGACACCAGAAGCAGAGGAAGAAAGCUGCCCUAGCCAUGACAUGCCACUGCCGGGAGACACCCUCCGUCAUACAAGGUGGCAGUCACUGGCUGAGUUUUCUAGCCAAUGGCAGAGAGAAUGAGACCCAGGGACAGGCUUGGUGAAGGGCUGGAUAAAGGAG